rnacentral:misc_RNA from 1 species
CAGAAAAAAAAAAAAAAGAACACUUGCAACAUUACUUUACAUCAAUGGAAUCAGAUCCUAUUGCAGAUCAGAUGGUCCUCGGGACCACAGAAUUCGACUUAAUAACAGUGAAAACUACAGUUAACGGCCUAAUAAAUGAAGUUUAAUCCCACAAGCACUUGUAAGUCAGAGCGUCCUGUGAAAAAGACUACUAAAAUAUGUCACCAUCCUGUUAUAAUUCUAUUAUUUCUUUAGCUAAGAUAACUAAGAAAAGAAUGUUUCUAAAACAUCCAAAACAAGAGAGAAAAAAAAAUUCAAUUUACCCCAGACAAGAAGAAGAGAUAAAGCCAAAUCAGCUUCUUUUGCUUUAUUCUUCAACUAACACCCAUGAAUUGAAAAAUGGAAAAUGUGUUGAUUACAGAAAAGAGAAUCAAAAAAGAAGGAAAGAUACGAAAUUUACCGAAUAGAGGCUGUUUAAGCACUU